UACGUAGGUGGCAAGCGUUGUCCGGAUUUACUGGGCGUAAAGAGCGCGCAGGCGGUCGUCCAAGCCGCGUGUGAAAGCCCCCGGCUCAACUGGGGAGGGUCACGCGAUACUGGUCGACUCGAAGGCAGGAGAGGGUAGUGGAAUUCCCGGUGUAGUGGUGAAAUGCGUAGAUAUCGGGAGGAACACCAGUGGCGAAGGCGACUACCUGGCCUGUUCUUGACGCUGAGGCGCGAAAGCUAGGGGAGCAAACGGG
rnacentral:rRNA from 1 species